CCGAGAUCAAAUAGUGAUUGGGACACAUAAUAAUAAGAUACGAGAGGAGGCAUUGAAAUUGUCGUGGGAUCUCGCCACCCUGAGACGCGAAGGCACGAGAAUGGAAAGUGCACUAAGAGGAGGUGCCGAGAUAACAGGGGAAUCCGUCAAUAGAUUAGGUAAAUAUUCAUAUGCACACAUGAAGAAGAAGGAUACGGGGCAAAGGACUGCAAAGAGAACAAUAAGCUUUUACAACUGUGGAAAUCAAGUCGCUGG
rnacentral:lncRNA from 1 species